CCUACGGGAGGCAGCAGUGGGGAAUAUUGGACAAUGGGCGCAAGCCUGAUCCAGCAAUGCCGCGUGAGUGAUGAAGGCCUUAGGGUCGUAAAGCUCUUUUACCAGGGAUGAUAAUGACAGUACCUGGAGAAUAAGCUCCGGCUAACUCCGUGCCAGCAGCCGCGGUAAUACGGAGGGAGCUAGCGUUGUUCGGAAUUACUGGGCGUAAAGCGUACGUAGGCGGUUAUUCAAGUCAGAGGUGAAAGCCCGGGGCUCAACCCCGGAACGGCCUUUGAAACUAGGUAGCUAGAAUCUUGGAGAGGUCAGUGGAAUUCCGAGUGUAGAGGUGAAAUUCGUAGAUAUUCGGAAGAACACCAGUGGCGAAGGCGACUGACUGGACAAGUAUUGACGCUGAGGUACGAAAGCGUGGGGAGCAAACAGGAUUAGAUACCCUGGUAGUCCACGCCGUAAACGAUGAUAACUAGCUGUUCGGGCACUUGGUGCUUGAGUGGCGCAGCUACGCAUAAGUUAUCCGUCCGUCGGGUAGGUACGGUCGCGAGAGUUAAACGUACAAAUAGAAGUUAAGUACGGUCGUUGAGUACGUUGCCGAACGGACGACGACGAGGGAGGUUAGG
rnacentral:rRNA from 1 species